rnacentral:rRNA from 1 species
GGGUCAGUAGGUUAGUCAUGCCACUGGUAUGUACUGGUCUCACUGAUUCCUCCUUCCUGAUGAGCCGUAAUGCCAUUAAUUUGGUGUUGCGGGGAAUCUGGACUGUUACUUUGAAAAAAUUAGAGUGUUUAAAGCAGGCUGACGUCUGAAUACAUUAGCAUGGAGUAAUGAAAUAGGACGUUCGAUCCUAUUUUGUUGGUUUCUAGGAUUGACGUA